rnacentral:rRNA from 1 species
AUUGAACGCUGGCGGCAGGCCUAACACAUGCAAGUCGAACGAGUGGCGGACGGGUGAGCAAUGUCUGGGAAACUGCCUGAUGGAGGGGGAUAACGACCGGAAACGGUAGCUAAUACCGCAUACCAUCGGAUGUGCCCAGAUGGGAGUAGCUAGUAGGUGGGGUAAAGGCUCACCUAGGCGACGAUCCCUAGCUGGUCUGAGAGGGUGACCAGCCAGACUGGAACUGAGACACGGUCCAGACUCCUACGGGAGGCAGCAGUGGGGAAUAUUGGACAAUGGGCGCAAGCCUGAUAGAGCCAUGCCGCGUGUAUGAAGAAGGCCUUCGGUUUGUAAAGUACUUUCAGCGGGGAGGCGUUACCCACAGAAGAAGCACCGGCUAACUCCGUGCCAGCCGCCGCGGUAAUUC